CAUUACAUUCAGUAGCUUGCUACUGGUCGGGAGGCGCUGUAACUCCGCAUAGUAUUAAUUUACUGAUGAGCGGCAGGCCCUCUGUCUGUACCCUUGUCUUUUGCGCACUCAUGUUUCCUCGGCGGGCUUGCCCGCCGAUUGGACAAAACUAUAACCUUUUUAAUUUUCAAUCAGCGUCUGAAAAAAACUUAAUAAUUACAACUUUCAACAACGGAUCUCUUGGUUCUGGCAUCGAUGAAGAACGCAGCGAAAUGCGAUAAGUAGUGUGAAUUGCAGAAUUCAGUGAAUCAUCGAAUCUUUGAACGCACAUUGCGCCCCUUGGUAUUCCAUGGGGCAUGCCUGUUCGAGCGUCAUUUGUACCCUCAAGCUCUGCUUGGUGUUGGGUGUUUGUCCUCUCCUUUGCGUUUGGACUCGCCUUAAAGCAAUUGGCAGCCAGUGUUUUGGUAUUGAAGCGCAGCACAUUUUGCGAUUCUAGCCGAUAAUACUUGCGUCCAUAAGCCUUUUUUAACUUUUGACCUCGGAUCAGGUAGGGAUACCCGCUGAACUUAAGCAUA
rnacentral:rRNA from 1 species